GCCGCGCGCGUGCGCAUGCGCACUGCCUGGAGCCGCGGUCUUCCGGCUCUGCUGUCCCGCGCGGGGUCCCGGCGGGCGGGGUGACCCCACUAAAGGCAUCACUCCUUUGGACAUCCAGAGCGUGGCCUUGGAGUCUGGCAGAGGACAUGGGCCCUCGCAGAAAGGCUGAAGAAAGAAGUAAGGGCACGUGUGAUGCAGCCGGAUCCAACAUGCACCCCGUCACAUGCUGGAUGUGAAGAGAGGACAGCCUUCCCCCUGUCCCACAGACCUCUGCGGUCGGACCCAGGCAGAGCCAGGAAGCUCUGGGAAGACGAGCCCUGUCCUCACCGGGGAUGGGAGACAAUCGCCACCACGUCCCUCCUGCUCACCCUCAGGCAGGUGAAGGACAGGGGGGUCAGCGCUGAAUCCAGGCCCUGUAUAAAUGAGGCCUGCUCUGAACCCCCACACCACAGGAGAAAGAAAGUGGGGCUGGGAGACUGCUCAGCUCAGGGGUGCAAACGCGGGACCCACCUUUGAUAUCAGUAAUGUGUGGCCCCUGCCUGGUGAUCCCUGAGGGACCCCACACACAAGCACUACUGGGGUGACCACCAGAACCGCUGACCCCACCAGUGUACACCAUGUGCACUGGACAUUGAACUAUCCAGCCCAAUUGGCUGGUUAUUGCCAGGAGUGCCAGGUUAUUGCCAGGUUCCCAAAACAGUGAGUGGGGCCCUGAAAAAAACUUUAGUGAAGAGGUUGGGGGGGUAGUACAGCAGGAGGGCGCUUGCUCAGCACACAGCCAACCCUGGUUUGAUCCGGGCACGCCAUACUGUUCCCCAAGCACCACCAGGAGUAAUUCUGAGUGUGGAGCCAGGAGUCAGCCCUGGUGUGGCACAAAAAACAAAAAAUUAAGUGGCACACGCUCAGAUGAGCCUCACCCAGGAGUGAAUCUGCAGAAAAACUCAGGUAUGUGGGACUUGUGACUAAAAACUCUAGGCUCAACGGAACCGGGAAUGGGUAACCUCCCCAUCUCCCGCUUUUCUGGUAGCUUGGCAGUCGUGCCCACAAGCUGCUGCUGGCACCAUCACUGUAUCACUGUCACCCCAUUGCUCAUCGAUUUGCUCGGGUGGGCACCAGUAACGUCUCCAUUGUGAGACUUGUUACUGUUUUUGCCAUAUCCAAUACACCACGGGUAACUUGCCAGGCUCUGCUAUAUGGGCAGGAUACUUUCGGUAGCUUGCCGGGCUCUCUGAGGGGGACAAAGGAAUCAAACCCGGGUUGGCUGCAUGCAGGGCAAACGCCCUACCUGCUGUGAUAGCCGGAGAGCCUGGCAAGCUACCAAGAGUAUCCCGCCUGCACGCAGAGCCUGGCAAGCUACCCAUGGCAUAUUCAAUAUGCCAAAAACAGUAACAAGUCCCACAAUGGAGAUGUUAUUGGUGCCCGCUUGAGCAAAUCGAUGAGCAACAGGAUGACAGUGAUACAGUGAUAAAUAUUUAUAUAUUAUUCCAUAAAUUUAUAUAUAUAAUCUAAAACAAACUAUACUGGGGGAAAAAUACAGAAAUGCCAAAGGUGACACAUAGUAUCAAAUAGACCUUGCUACAUUACCACACUUGUGGUUUAACCAAAAACAAUUCAUAAUACUUUAUAAUGAAAUAAGUGUUUCCCUGUACAUUCCAUUAUCUACAGAAGGAUAUCAAUUCUAAUGACAAAAUAAUCACAAAAAAUGGGGGGAGGGUGUUUGGGGGCUAUACCCAGCAGUGCUAAGGGCUUACUCCUGGUGGGCUCAGGGGAACCAAAUUGAACCAGCAUGCAAUGCGAGCACCCUAGCCACUGCACUAUCGCUCUGGCCCCACAAAAAAUUCUUAAUAUGAAUUCAGUCUUAACUGUUCAUGACAGAUUGUGUCUACUAGAAGGAAUCAAUAUUUUUUUAUGUAAAAAUACAUAAAAAACAAAAAACCUAAGAAAAGAGGCUGAUACUUCCACAAUGCUGGUCUUCCUGGAGAGUGUCACCAAGGCCUCACACCCUUCCCGCCGUCAUGAUGCCCUGGUCGCACACACGCUUAGUCAUGCUUUUUGGGUCACAUGCCUGACUGUGUGCUGGAGAUGGCACAGCUGUGGCAUCAGGGGUCCAGAGAGCUGAGCCACAGGGCACACGUGGAUGUGUGUCCCGAGCCCCGGGCAGCACGCACACCCUUCUAGAGUUGAGACACGUCUCCAAAGAGCACUUUCGACUGGCAGGAACCAGGGCUCCUCAAAAAAAAGGCUUCAAUCUGGGUUGAAAAUGCAUUAAAAUAACAAUAAUUUGGGGGAUCCAAUAAUCUCAUUAACAGCCAAGAUCCAGAAACACCAUAUGAAUCUCAGAAGAGAGCCCAAAGCGAGACGCCAUAGCCAGGCCGCUAGCCCUGCGCCAGGCUGUUUUCUCAGGCCAGCCCAGAGGGGGCAGGUGAGGCCCCUCACCAGCUCAACUGCUGCCAGGCUCACAGCCGCUCUCCUCAGGCUCAGACGAGCCUCACCCAUGAGCGAAUCUAUUCCUGGACAUCUCAUACUUUACACCACCAAUAUAACAAGAGUAGCGCACCACAUUUGAUGAGGUUUAAAAUAGAAGGCAAGCAAUCUGAGGGGAAUUAUAUUAUACAGAUAUAGAUAUAAGCACACAAGUCUCAGCCUUUAACAACAUAUUACUAAUCUCUUAAAGAAGGGCUUAAUGGCUCCUGGGAGAAAUACAACCUUCACACACUUUCCUCAAAGAAACCUUUUUGUCUCAUUUUUAGUGGAUUUUUCAUAACAAUACACAAUAAAUUAUUUCGAUUCUGCUUCGAGGGCAGGGUUUGGGGAUCAGGAUGGAAAUGUGGUGGGAAGGUAAUGGUGGUGGGAUUGGUGUUCGAAUAGUAAACAUAAUCAAAUAUUGUGAACAACUUAU